UAUUGAAAUUCUAACCUACGGGUCUUAUCGACCCGGGAGACAGUGUCAGGUGGGCAGUUUGACUGGGGCGGUCGCCUCCUAAAGUGUAACGGAGGCGCCCAAAGGUUCCCUCAGAAUGGUUGGAAAUCAUUCGUAGAGUGCAAAGGCAUAAGGGAGCUUGACUGCGAGACCUACAAGUCGAGCAGGGACGAAAGUCGGGCUUAGUGAUCCGGUGGUUCCGCAUGGAAGGGCCAUCGCUCAACGGAUAAAAGCUACCCCGGGGAUAACAGGCUUAUCUCCCCCAAGAGUCCACAUCGACGGGGAGGUUUGGCACCUCGAUGUCGGCUCAUCGCAUCCUGGGGCUGUAGUCGGUCCCAAGGGUUGGGCUGUUCGCCCAUUAAAGCGGUACGCGAGCUGGGUUCAGAACGUCGUGAGACAGUUCGGUCCCUAUCCGUCGUGGGCGUAGGAAAUUUGAGAGGAGCUGUCCUUAGUACGAGAGGACCGGGAUGGACGCACCGCUGGUGUACCAGUUGUUCUGCCAAGGGCAUCGCUGGGUAGCUAUGUGCGGAAGGGAUAAGUGCUGAAAGCAUCUAAGCAUGAAGCCCCCCUCAAGAUGAGAUUUCCCAUAGCGUAAGCUAGUAAGAUCCCUGAAAGAUGAUCAGGUUGAUAGGUUCGAGGUGGAAGCGUGGUGACACGUGGAGCUGACGAAUACUAAUAGAUCGAGGACUUAACCAAU
rnacentral:rRNA from 1 species